UGGGGAAUAUUGCACAAUGGGCGCAAGCCUGAUGCAGCCAUGCCGCGUGUGUGAAGAAGGCUUUCGGGUUGUAAAGCACUUUCAGCGGGGAGGAAGGCGGUGAGGUUAAUAACCUCAUCGAUCUACGUUACCCGCAGAAGAAGCACCGGCUAACUCCGUGCCAGCAGCCGCGGUAAUACGGAGGGUGCAAGCGUUAAUCGGAAUUACUGGGCGUAAAGCGCACGCAGGCGGUCUGUCAAGUCGGAUGUGAAAUCCCCGGGCUCAACCUGGGAGCUGCAUUCGAAACUGGCAGGCUAGAGUCUUGUAGAGGGGGGUAGAAUACCAGGUGUAGCGGUGAAAUGCGUAGAGAUCUGGAGGAAUACCGGUGGCGAAAGCGGCCCCCUGGACAAAGACUGACGCUCAGGUGCGAAAGCGUGGGGAGCAAACAGG
rnacentral:rRNA from 1 species